GCACCGUAAGCGCAGACGGAGGAGCAGCCGCUUAAAGCGGACGGUCGCAGGUUCGAGCCCUGCACGGCGCA
rnacentral:tRNA from 1 species